GGCAUUACAACACUCCUUCGGUUCCAGGGUUCAGGAUAUUUGGCUUCUUCCUCUGCAUGGCUCCCUGAGAACCCUAGGUCCCUGAUGGAUUUGGUGGGGGAGGAGGGUGGCCACUAAAUGACUGACUUGGAGGUUUAAAUGAGGACGCACAAAACAAAAAAGGUAAAAGGAACUCCUUGUGAGGAAAUCCCCUCUACCAAUACUGUGUGACAAUGGGUGAAGACACUGAGACUUGGAGAGGUUCACAGGAUGAGGGAAUCAUAGAUGAAGACCUUGAUGGGAAUUUAUAUGUCAUCUAAUUUAAUUGUCAUAUGAAGGAAU